CACAGGACCAAGGUUGGAGAUGAAGAGGGUUUGCAAUUUGCUCCAUAAGAUUCUCAUGAAUUAACGUGUAACUUGCUCCAGUAUCCACGAUCGCUUUCCCAGACCAAGAUCCAAUGCUAAUUGGAACUACUAAUUGUUGAGGUAUGGUCAUGAAUGCAUUUGAUCUUGGAAUCUUCUGAGUUUCUGCUUGUGCCUGUGGUAUUUCAGAGGCUGCUACAGUGUUAUUGGAUGGUCGGCCUCCUGACUUUGCAGAGUGGUGAGAAUACUUUUCAUGGGUGAAAUGUUGUUGAUGUUGACCAGAAGACUGCGGAGAAGGAGGAUGUACAUACUUUGGACAGUUUCCUGGAGGAUGCGGUCCGUUACAUCUCCAACACUGAACAAACGGUUUCUCAGCAGAUCGGUUGGAUAAUUGUUUUUGUGAAUUGGCUUGUUGUUUAAAGCCCAUACGACCUUCAUACCGAAGCUGUUCUUCAUGGUCUUUUUCCAAUUGGUGUCCAAGUCUUACCAAAUCUUCAACAGUGUUCACACGACUGCGUAACUGACUUGCAAGUGCGGACACGUUCAGCCAGCUCAUCCUCAUAGUCCUCAGACAAAAAAGCAGAGAGAAAUGCAGACUCAAACUCCUUCCAAGUGUUUAUAUGGAAGCGACUUACUUCCCACCAGUCGCGUGCAGUGCCAUGCAACACUGUGCGGAAGGUAGCCAGGAGAUCUGCAUCAUUUAAAGGAUGUAGAGCCAGAAAAUCUUGACACUUGGUCAAGUACAACAGGGGGUCAGCAUCAUCAGUAGGACGCCCAAAACCUUGUCUUCCUUUAAGACUUGAACAUCAUGUUGCAGCUCAGCUACACCAGUACGACAUUUGUGAAUUUGUGUUUCACAUUGCUGAAGAUUGGUGGUUACCUGAUCAAGGCUACCCUGAAGUGCACGUUGCAUAGCUUUAAUAUCUUGUUGGAUCUCCAUACGUAGCUGUUCUACCUUAUCCCGGACUACAGAA
ensembl:lncRNA